rnacentral:rRNA from 1 species
GAUGAACGCUGGCGGCGUGCCUAAUACAUGCAAGUCGAGCGAACAGACGAGGAGCUUGCUCCUCUGACGUUAGCGGCGGACGGGUGAGUAACACGUGGAUAACCUACCUAUAAGACUGGGAUAACUUCGGGAAACCGGAGCUAAUACCGGAUAAUAUAUUGAACCGCAUGGUUCAAUAGUGAAAGACGGUUUUGCUGUCCAUUAUAGUUGGAUCCGCGCCGCAUUAGCUAGUUGGUAAGGUAACGGCUUACCAAGGCAACGAUGCGUAGCCGACCUGAGAGGGUGAUCGGCCACACUGGAACUGAGACACGGUCCAGACUCCUACGGGAGGCAGCAGUAGGGAAUCUUCCGCAAUGGGCGAAGGCCUGACGGAGCAACGCCGCGUGAGUGAUGAAGGUCUUCGGAUCGUAAAACUCUGUUAUUAGGGAAGAACAAAUGUGUAAGUAACUAUGCACGUCUUGACGGUACCUAAUCAGAAAGCCACGGCUAACUACGUG